GCCGGCCUCGGCCGCCGAGGGCUUGGCCGCCGUCGGUUCCGGCCCUGCGGUCGGUUCCAGCCCUGCGGUCGGUUCCAGCCCUGCGGUCGGUUCCA
rnacentral:tRNA from 1 species